AAUCCAAGAUCGUAGAAAGAAGAUCUAAGAGGGACAUAUGGAGAAUGAAGUCAAAAAUCCAUGAUAGAGUCCGACCACAACGACCGAAUUAAUUAUUCUCAUCUAGAAACUUAUAAGAUACUAGCGUGCCAUGCAUCUUCUAUCUGGAAUAGUAGAUAA
rnacentral:rRNA from 1 species